ensembl:lncRNA
GUGCAGGAUUUUGGCAAGAGAAAAAGCUUGGGAAAGCUUUUAAGCAGAGAAUGGAUUUAGGAGAACAUAGGAAACAUUGGAAAAUGCAGGGAUACCGCAUACUAAUAAUUCACAUAAGCAAGUCUAUAUGAGCUGAACCCUGGGCUGAUAAUAGACUUGGCAGUCAAUUUCUCUGAACCUCUUCCAGUUUUUAAAAAUUUGCAGACAACUGAGGCAAGAGAGAGACGUGAAAAACUAAAGAAAUGGUUUUGGUAUUUGGAUCAGAGUUGCAGAGUUUGCAGAGAGUUGAGUGAGGAAAAUAUGUUUGAAUGAAGAAAGGGAAAGCGGGACAGUAUCUUCUUAAAAUUAAUAAUGUCUCUUUAUCUUUAGGAAGUUGGUUAUAUAACACAUCAGUUGGAAACUACCAAAGAGAGUUGGGUGCGUAUGUGGCUGCUGGUAGGAACUGUAACCGCAGGAGGGUGCAGUUCUGCACUGGGAGCUUCAUCUCAAGGAUUCCUAUCACAGGAAAGACAUUGUGGAACCUAGAAAAGAGCAACUUAAUUUUGCUGUUGGGUUUGUAUGACAGUCCUAUGAACUGAUUUAAGACCCAUCAGAACUGAAGAGAGGAGGAUGGAGGCUUCAGAAUUGAAGGAACCAGUAGGAUUUGGGGAUGAAGUACUGUGGCUACAUGUAAAGAUUUGAGAACCAAGUGUAAACUGGUGCAGUGUUUCAGAGCCCAUUAUGACAAUCUGUACGGUAAGGAAAAUCAAAACGUAUGUUUUUCAGGGGCAUUGAGCAGCUGUAUUGAAGAAGAAGCUGGUGCACAAAGUUUGCAUCGUGACACUCAGAAUGACAAAUUCCACUAAAAUUCAGCUACUCACUUUCUGUAACUUAAGUACAGUGUUAAUUCCUUGAAUUAACUCAUAAUAGUUUAUUUCAUCGCUUAUUUGUAGACAAAAUAAGCACCAUGAUUUGUUACAAUCCCUACUUGCUAUAUCAUGUUACUGUAGGUUGUACAAAAUCCUUUUUUGAACAGUUUAAAAAAUGUCCUAUGGAGUGUAGAUCUCUUAGAGAUGUGUUCGCUACUGUGGCAGCACCACAAUCCAGGAGUACCACAAGAGUAAGUUACAGUAUAAGUACUAACUUCAAAAUAGAUAUUUUAAGACUUUAUGUUUUUCUUCAAUUGCUCUGCAAGUAGGAAGCUUUUUCCAUGAAUAACUCUUUUACAGUCUCCUUACUGAGGUCUGCUUACCAUGAAAUACACACUCUGCCUUAGAAUGGCGAUGAAGACGUAGUGAAAAAUCUUCUACUUAGUUGGGAUAUGGAUGUAAACCAAAUCAAAUUUGGGUUUGGGACUUAGCAUGAAAUUACAACACAAAAUAACUGUUAUAUGCAGAAAAUUUUAAUAGAAGAAGUCAAGAUUAAUGCAUUUUGUGUGGUCUUUGCUGGUGUGCAGAGAACAGAAAAAGGGAAUGUGGCAGUACUGUCUCACUGGUGUUUUUGCUCUGCUGCUAUGAAAAUCAUUUUUAAUACUUGCAUAAUUUAGAGCAUGACAUUAUGAUUUUCAAAGCUUCAAAUUGGAGUAAAGCAUUUACAUAAUCUAAUUAAAUCAUGUAAAUGUUUUAUGAUAAUAUUCAAGUAAGUGCAAAGCUUGCUCCACAGAUGCAUCCCAUUCUUAGGCCAUAGGGGAAACCCAAUUUAAGUAUGCGGAUGGAUGUUACUAACCAUGCAUGCUCUGGGAGGUCAGCAGGGUGCUUACUGAAUGCUCUGUUCUUUGUAUAACCUCUGACGCCUGUUUCACACAGCAUCAUCUUUCCAAGAGCUUGAAGGUAAGCUGAUACCGGAGGGAAAGGCAAAGCGGAUUUAAAAGGCUACUUGCAACCUCUUAUAAUUUGAAUGAAAGUGAUGCUACUGCGAUACGUAAUAAAUUGCUUCAAUUUCAUUGAACA